UACGGAGGGUCCGAGCGUUAAUCGGAAUUACUGGGCGUAAAGCGUGCGCAGGCGGCUUGUUAAGCGAGAUGUGAAAGCCCCCGGGCGUCAACCUGGGAAUUGCAUUUCGAACUGGCAAACUAGAGUCUUGUAGAGGGGGUAGGAAUUCCAGGUGUAGCGGUGAAAUAGCGUAGAGAUCUGGAGGAAUACCGGUGGCGAAGGCGGCCCCCUCGGACGAAAGACUGACGCUCAGGCACGAAAGCGUGGGGAGCAAACAGGAUUAGAUACCCGGGUAGU
rnacentral:rRNA from 1 species